rnacentral:rRNA from 1 species
AACCAGCACCUCAAGUGGUCAGGAUGAUUAUUGGGCCUAAAGCAUCCGUAGCCGGCUCUGUAAGUUUUCGGUUAAAUCUGUACGCUCAACGCAUGGGCUGCCGGAAAUACUGCAGAGCUAGGGAGUGGGAGAGGUAGACGGUACUUGGUAGGAAGGGGUAAAAUCCUUUGAUCUAUUGAUGACCACCUGUGGCGAAGGCGGUCUACCAGAGCAUGUCCGACGGUGAGGGAUGAAAGCUGGAGGAGCAAACCGG